rnacentral:rRNA from 1 species
AGGGAGUGGCGGCGUGCUUACCAUGCAGUCGAACGCGAAAGGGGCUUCGGUCCUGAGUAGAGUGGCGCACGGGUGAGUAACGCGUAGAUAACCUGUCCUGGUGUCUGGAAUAAUAUCUCGAAAGGGGUGCUAAUACCGGAUAUUCUUGCUUUCUAUAAGGUAUGCAAGGAAAGGUGGCCUCUGGAACAAGCUACUGCACGAGGAGGGGUCUGCGUACCAUUAGCUAGUAGGUGGGGUAAUGGCCUACCUAGGCGACGAUGGUUAGCGGGUCUGAGAGGAUGAUCCGCCACACUGGUACUGAAACACGGACCAGACUCCUACGGGAGGCAGCAGUGAGGAAUAUUGCGCAAUGGGGGCAACCCUGACGCAGCGACGCCGCGUGAGUGAGGAAGGCCUUCGGGUCGUAAAGCUCUGUCAAAGGGGAAGAAGUGCAUGGUGGUUAAUAUCUGUCAUGUUUGACGGUACCCUUAAAGGAAGCACCGGCUAACUCCGUGCCAGCAGCCGCGGUAAUACGGAGGGUGCAAGCGUUGUUCGGAAUCACUGGGCGUAAAGGGCGCGCAGGCGGUUUGAAUAGCCAGAUGUGAAAGCCCACGGCUUAACCGUGGAAGUGCAUUUGAAACUGUCAGACUUGAGUACCAGAGGGGAAAGUGGAAUUCCCGGUGUAGAGGUGAAAUUCGUAGAUAUCGGGAGGAAUACCGGUGGCGAAGGCGACUUUCUGGCUGGAUACUGACGCUGAGGCGCGAAAGCGUGGGGAGCAAACAGGAUUAGAUACCCUGGUAGUCCACGCUGUAAACGAUGUGCACUAGAUGUAGGGGGUGUUGAUCCCUUCUGUGUCGCAGCUAACGCAUUAAGUGCACCGCCUGGGGAGUACGGUCGCAAGAUUAAAACUCAAAGGAAUUGACGGGGGCCCGCACAAGCGGUGGAGUAUGUGGUUUAAUUCGAUGCAACGCGAAGAACCUUACCUGGUCUUGACAUCCCGGAGACCCUUAGAAACUAGGGGUGCUUCCAUUAGAGAAUCUGGAGACAGGUGCUGCAUGGCUGUCGUCAGCUCGUGUCGUGAGAUGUUGGGUUAAGUCCCGCACGAGCGCACCCUUGCUUUAGUGCAGCAGUUCGCUGGGCACCUCUAAGGGACUGCCGGUGUUUAACCGGGAGAAGGGUGGGGGAU